AGCUGGCCGGCGUGUCUUCUCUGAAGUGAAAACCUUCAUAAAGCGCCACCCACACCAGAAUACUACCUACCGAAUACUGGUUACAGAAAAGGGGAAUCACGUGACGAUGUCAGAUAACCAUUUUAUCUUUGCCUCGGUAACAAACACGUCUGCCGAAAUGGAAUCUAGGUAUUUACGUUCCAGUCACUGAAGCUGGAACUCUUGUAGUGGACGGAAUAUUCGCGUCUUGUUACUCAUGCCUUCCACACCACCUCGAACACUUCUUCCUGACACCUUUCCGCUGGAUUCCAUGGCUGCUGGAUCCAUGGCAACAAGAUGGCUUCAGUCCUAUCAUAUCUGGUUUGGAAAAUAUAGCAGACAGGUUUCUACCUAUUACUUUUUAUCAGAGUAUUAAAAGUGCUUCCACCUCGUAAUUCUGAUGAAGCAGUAUUCUACCAUCAGUGACGGCAGUCAUCAGGCGCUGGUAGACGGACGGGACACUGUCCCUCUAGUGAACAAUCAAUUUAAUUUGAUCUUCAAUAGAUAACUAUUGCAAGCGGAAUAAGUAAAAAUAUGAGAAACUUGA